rnacentral:rRNA from 1 species
GACGAACCGUGCGAACGUUAUUCGGAAUCACUGGGCUUAAAGCGCGUGUAGGCGGAUGGGAACGUCGGUAGUUGAAAGCCCCCCGGCUCAACCGGGGAAGUGGUGCCGAAACGACCCGUCUGGAGGGACGUAGGGGGGACCUGGAACUUCCGGUGGGAGCGGUGAAAUGCGUUGAGAUCGGAAGGAACGCCCGUGGCGAAAGCGAGGUCCUGGACGUCUACUGACGCUGAGACGCGAAAGCUAGGGGAGCAAACGGGG